rnacentral:rRNA from 1 species
AGAGUUUGAUCAUGGCUCAGGACGAACGCUGGCGGCGUGCCUAAUACAUGCAAGUAGAACGCUGAAGAGAGGAGCUUGCUCUUCUUGGAUGAGUUGCGAACGGGUGAGUAACGCGUAGGUAACCUGCCUUGUAGCGGGGGAUAACUAUUGGAAACGAUAGCUAACACCGCAUAACAAUGGAUGACACAUGUCAUUUAUUUGAAAGGGGCAAUUGCUCCACUACAAGAUGGACCUGCGUUGUAUUAGCUAGUAGGUGAGGUAAUGGCUCACCUAGGCGACGAUACAUAGCCGACCUGAGAGGGUGAUCGGCCACACUGGGACUGAGACACGGCCCAGACUCCUACGGGAGGCAGCAGUAGGGAAUCUUCGGCAAUGGGGGCAACCCUGACCGAGCAACGCCGCGUGAGUGAAGAAGGUUUUCGGAUCGUAAAGCUCUGUUGUAAGUCAAGAACGGGUGUGAGAGUGGAAAGUUCACACUGUGACGGUAGCUUACCAGAAAGGGACGGCUAACUACGUGCCAGCAGCCGCGGUAAUACGUAGGUCCCGAGCGUUGUCCGGAUUUAUUGGGCGUAAAGCGAGCGCAGGCGGUUUGAUAAGUCUGAAGUUAAAGGCUGUGGCUCAACCAUAGUUCGCUUUGGAAACUGUCAAACUUGAGUGCAGAAGGGGAGAGUGGAAUUCCAUGUGUAGCGGUGAAAUGCGUAGAUAUAUGGAGGAACACCGGUGGCGAAAGCGGCUCUCUGGUCUGUAACUGACGCUGAGGCUCGAAAGCGUGGGGAGCGAACAGGAUUAGAUACCCUGGUAGUCCACGCCGUAAACGAUGAGUGCUAGGUGUUGGAUCCUUUCCGGGAUUCAGUGCCGCAGCUAACGCAUUAAGCACUCCGCCUGGGGAGUA